GUCUCGCAGCCCGGGUUAAGCCCCGUUUUUCUGCUGCUCUCGGCGCACGUUUUGAACGCCAAAGAACCUGAAACAGUCCUCUUGUUGGAACAUGGUUCAGUUCAAAAGAGUUUAUGGGUUGGAGGAUGGCACAAGACCUGUCGCUGUGAAAGUCAUUACAGUGGGUAUGCCCCAGCAUCUCAUCGUCAGUCCUGAGGAAUUCAACUGCUGCCCAAGGUGACUGCAGGUUGUGCUGAUGAUAUAUUCACCUAUCUUAAUG